UACAGGGGGUGCAAACGUUGCUCGGAAUCAUUGGGCGUAAAGCGCACGUAGGCGGUUCGUUAUGUCGGAUGUGAAAGCCCUUGGCUUAACCGAGGAAGUGCAUCCGAAACUGGCGAGCUAGAGUACGAAAGAGGAUCGCGGAAUUCCCGGUGUAGAGGUGAAAUUCGUAGAUAUGUGGAGGAACACCAGUGGCGAAGGCGACUCUCUGGUCUGUAACUGACGCUGAGGCGCGAAAGCGUGGGGAGCAAACAGG
rnacentral:rRNA from 1 species